rnacentral:RNase_P_RNA from 1 species
CGAGCCGGCUGGGUGACCGCGGCGCCACGCCGGCAACGGCGGCGGCGUCGAGGAAGGUCGGGGCUCCGCAGGGCAACGGUGCUGGCUAACGGCCAGUCGAGGCGACUCGCAGGAAAGUGCCACAGCCCGGACUCCGGGCCGGGCAAGGGUGAAACGGUGCGGUAAGAGCGCACCAGUGUCCCGGGCGACCGGGGCAGCUCGGCAAACCCCACCGGGAGCAAGGUCAAGCAGGGGGCGGCGGCCCGCCGGCGCUCAUUGGAGCGCAGCCCCCGGGUAGGCCGCUGAGAUGGAUGGUCACCCAGGGCCCUCGGGCCUGGACAGAACCCCGCCUACAGGCCGGCUCGCCGU